UACGUAGGUCCCGAGCGUUGUCCGGAUUUAUUGGGCGUAAAGCGAGCGCAGGUGGUUUAUUAAGUCUGGUGUAAAAGGCAGUGGCUCAACCAUUGUAUGCAUUGGAAACUGGUAGACUUGAGUGCAGGAGAGGAGAGUGGAAUUCCAUGUGUAGCGGUGAAAUGCGUAGAUAUAUGGAGGAACACCGGUGGCGAAAGCGGUUCUCUGGCCUGUAACUGACACUGAGGCUCGAAAGCGUGGGGAGCAAACAGG
rnacentral:rRNA from 1 species